rnacentral:rRNA from 1 species
AUUGAACGCUGGCGGCAGGCCUAACACAUGCAAGUCGAGCGGAUGAAGGGAUCUUGCUCCUGGAUUCAGCGGCGGACGGGUGAGUAAUGCCUAGGAAUCUGCCUGGUAGUGGGGGAUAACGUCCGGAAACGGGCGCUAAUACCGCAUACGUCCUGAGGGAGAAAGUGGGGGAUCUUCGGACCUCACGCUAUCAGAUGAGCCUAGGUCGGAUUAGCUAGUUGGUGGGGUAAAGGCCUACCAAGGCGACGAUCCGUAACUGGUCUGAGAGGAUGAUCAGUCACACGGGACCGGAAACGCGGCCCGGACCACACGGGGAGGCGAGAGUGGGGAAUGUAGGAGAGGGGGGGGAGCCUUAGCCCAACCCGGCCGGGUGGGGAAAAAGGUUCUGCUGUUUUUAAAGCUUUUUAGGUUGGGAGAAAGGAUAAAAAUUUAAUCCCUUGUUUUUUUGCCGUUACCAAAAAAAUAAGCACCGGCUAACUCCGUG